rnacentral:rRNA from 1 species
CCUACGGGUGGCAGCAGUGGGGAAUAUUGGACAAUGGGGGCAACCCUGAUCCAGCCAUGCCGCGUGUGUGAAGAAGGCCCUCGGGUUGUAAAGCACUUUCAGUGAGGAAGAACGCCAGGUGGAUAAUACCCAUCAGGAAAGACAUCACUCACAGAAGAAGCACCGGCUAACUCCGUGCCAGCAGCCGCGGUAAUACGGAGGGUGCGAGCGUUAAUCGGAAUUACUGGGCGUAAAGCGCGCGUAGGUGGCUUGAUAAGCCGGUUGUGAAAGCCCCGGGCUCAACCUGGGAACGGCAUCCGGAACUGUCAAGCUAGAGUGCAGGAGAGGAAGGUAGAAUUCCCGGUGUAGCGGUGAAAUGCGUAGAGAUCGGGAGGAAUACCAGUGGCGAAGGCGGCCUUCUGGACUGACACUGACACUGAGGUGCGAAAGCGUGGGUAGCAAACAGGAUUAGAUACCCCUGUAGUC